UACGUAGGGUGCAAGCGUUAAUCGGAAUUACUGGGCGUAAAGCGUGCGCAGGCGGUUGUGCAAGACAGGUGUGAAAUCCCCGGGCUUAACCUGGGAACUGCACUUGUGACUGCACAGCUGGAGUGCGGCAGAGGGGGAUGGAAUUCCGCGUGUAGCAGUGAAAUGCGUAGAUAUGCGGAGGAACAUCGGUGGCGAAGGCGACAUCCUGGACCGGUAUUGACGCUGAGGCGCGAAAGCCAGGGGAGCAAACGGG
rnacentral:rRNA from 1 species